rnacentral:lncRNA from 1 species
UUAUAAAAAACUUAUAUUUCCUUAUGAGGAAUUUUUCCCGAAGUUCAACAGCUCAUAACUUACGAUCUAACCAUCUAAACAACUCCAAAUUUUACAUGGAGUACUGAUAUAUCUUUAGCAACUACCACACCAAAAUCCAACCGUAAAUUCGUCUUGGAUCUUGUGAUAUCUUGAAAACCCUAACUGUAGCUUCAAACCCUAGCUUUUUUACACCCGUGUACAACUUCCUUCAUAUCUCACAAAGUAAUUAUUCAAAUACUAUGAAACUUUGAUCUAAAGCUUCUUAACCCAAUUACACACACUUGUGGAAAUUUUGAGCCAAAAAUUCGUCCAGAAACUCAAGAUAUGGCUUCACCCAUAACUAGCAACAAAACGAUAUACUUACUGCCUUCAAAUUACAAGUGCUUUCUUCAACGCCUCAUAACUCCUUCACCUAAUCUUAGAAUUCACUAUACAGUAAGUAGAAUGUGUAGCCGAGAAAAUGCUCCCUCCAAAUCUAGUCGCCGAUCUUCCGUUGCUCUCCGUAUUUGUAUGUGAUGCUCAAAAGAAGUGACAGUAGGUACAAAAUUGACACCUUAUCUUUGAACAUUCAUAUCUUUUCCAUAAAAACUCGAAAUCACACAAAAUCUUCACCCAAAUUAUACCCAAAAUCUUAAACCUUCUGACCCUAGCCUCAAAAGCU